rnacentral:rRNA from 1 species
GACGAACGCUGGCGGCGUGCCUAAUACAUGCAAGUAGAACGCUGAAGGAGGAGCUUGCUUCUCUGGAUGAGUUGCGAACGGGUGAGUAACGCGUAGGUAACCUGCCUGGUAGCGGGGGAUAACUAUUGGAAACGAUAGCUAAUACCGCAUAAUAGUAGAUGUUGCAUGACAUUUGCUUAAAAGGUGCAAUUGCAUCACUACCAGAUGGACCUGCGUUGUAUUAGCUAGUUGGUGGGGUAACGGCUCACCAAGGCGACGAUACAUAGCCGACCUGAGAGGGUGAUCGGCCACACUGAGACUGAGACACGGCCCAGACUCCUACGGGAGGCAGCAGUAGGGAAUCUUCGGCAAUGGACGGAAGUCUGACCGAGCAACGCCGCGUGAGUGAAGAAGGUUUUCGGAUCGUAAAGCUCUGUUGUAAGAGAAGAACGAGUGUGAGAGUGGAAAGUUCACACUGUGACGGUAUCUUACCAGAAAGGGACGGCUAACUACGUG